AACGCUAGAGGAUAGAACAGGCAGCUAUCGCCCAUCGUUAGGAGAUGCGGGAACCGUCACCCCGCCUAGCUUU
rnacentral:ncRNA from 1 species